GACUCAGUACAAGUUCGGUCGCUCAGGGGAGUCCUGUGAAUGUCCACAGUGUGAACUUGCGGUCGACAGAUGGAACACAGAGAAUAAAACUCUGCGGAAGUCCCUCAGUUCAGGCUGCUAUUCGAGGUGGUGAACGUCAAGGUGGCGCUGAUGACACAUUUGGGAUUAAAGAUUGCAGCCCGAAUGCAACAAGAAGAAGUGAUGGGAUGUGAGUGGACCCAAGAAGGACCAGAAAAGGACAGGAAGACACAGUACACGUGCAUCAAGAGGAAGUAAACCCAUCUGCAAUACAAACCAGCCUUAAUAUGUGUUCAAUUGGACUCAUUAUUUACAAAAAAUA